AUAAAUAACCAAAUGUUAUUUUUUGGUUGCUUUUAUAUCUUUUAGUAUAGUGUUUGUUAAGCGAAUUUACAUAUUAUUAUUAUUAGCCUAUUAUUAAAUCGUGUUAAAUGUAUUGCUUAAUUAAUAAUAAAUAGUCAAAAGAACAUAAUAAAAACUUCCUCCACUGCCUAUUGAAUGCGCUACACCCAGUCCAGUAGGAGGCGCUAAUGACCCUUCAGUUGCCAAUCGCCACUCAGGCCAAAAGCGCAGAAGAACAAAAAUGACCGGGAAAAUCUGACAGGACUGAGAAGAUGACAACAGCACAGCGGGGUUUUAGAAGCCCAUCAGAGUGAUUUUCUGAGUUCUUUCACAUAUGCUGUAUGGUCAGCGAAUGGAUGGAUUAUCCAGUCACGGUACAUAAUAAAAGACUUGACUGAGUUAGAAGAAGCUGAGCGACUCUUCAGAGUGAAGAUGUUAUGAUGCAGUUAUGUCAAAGCACUCGUUUCGGAUGGCCAGAUUGGAACAGAACCUGAAUGGGAAGAUGGCAGAGCUAAGACUGGCAAUUUCCAGGAAAAAUGUUUACUAAAAAUGAGUGUGUUUUUCCCCAGCGAGAGAGUUUGGGAAUGUUUUAAAUGUGUCUAGAAGUUUGAAAAUGUAAUACUGAGGGAAAAAAGUGAGCGCUUUGAAAAGGCUUUAAAAAGAAAAAAAAGUCUGAAGUUGAUGUGAAAUGAAGUUAAAGUUUUUACUUGAAAAGUUUGUACUGUACUUGUUUGUACUUGUCAAGUCUGUGCUGAAAAAAAUGCAGUAAAGGUUGUAUUUGAAAAGA